ensembl:lncRNA
AUUUUAGCAACUCUGGAUACUGAUGCCCUCCUUUUCUCUGGGCGUGUUUUUACAGUUGUUCGUCUGUUUAUUUGCUUAGUGAUAUGGCUAGACUGCUCUAGUGAGUCCGUUUCCCCUGCAGUGUGAAGUCCUUUGGUGUCAGUCUUCAGAGGGUGCACAUUAAGCAUGAGCAGAGUCACCUGGGCUUUCCAGGGGGCUCUCUGUCUCUUUCCAGAUCCCUCCAUUCAGCCGUUUCGGUUAAUAUCACACCCAGUUGUUGGGCUCCGCUAAUUGUUGGCUGCCUGGUCUGCUGUUUUCAGCAAUGCCCAUAAACUGCUGCACAGUCUUCUGGCUACUGCUCAGCUUUGAGGCCAGUCACUGAGGUUUGUUCUUACGCCAGGAGGCUCUUCUUAGUAGUCUCUUUCCUUGGUUCUCCCUGGUGAACUGACUUGGUUUAGGUUUUUGCUCUUAAUUAAUAGAAGAGCUGUCUUUUUUUUUUUUCCCCCAAGAGAACCCUGAGGCUUGAAUGUCUGUUUCAAAUGAGGUCAUUUCCUUUGUGCAGAACUUUGCAGCCCUCUGUGAACUGCCUUUCUCCUGGGAAGAAUCUUUGGGCCACUGCUCUGCAGUGGUAGCCUCUGCUUUUCGUGACUUGCUUCUCUUGGUAUGGAACCUCUGCUCUAUAAGUGAUCAGCGGUAGGUACAGUCAGGACUCCCAUAUGCCAUGCCUCCAUUCAGGGGGUAGGCGCUGCUUGGAGGACGCGUGCCCCCAAGCUCUCAGCCACACUCACCAGGAAUUUAGCUGCUUCAGCUUGGAGUUGGGAGGAUGAGAAAUGUUGGUGUCCUGUUCCAUUGGUAAGAUGCCAUGUCCUUUGAUCAGGAACUGAAAGGAGAGGGAGCCCCAUCUUCUUGGCCAUACCCACCCCACAUGGAGUCUGUCAAGUGGAGCUGGGGGUUGGUUGGGUUCUUUACUGUCUGAGCCACAAGGGAGAGGUUGGCAACCUAUAAACCUGGAAGCAAGCUCUCACCAGACAUCACCAUGCCAACACUUUGAUCCCAGACUUCCAGCCUUCAGAAUUUUGAGAAAUAUCUGUUGUUUAUAAGACACUCAAUCUAUGGUAUUUGGCUAUAGCAACCCAAACUAAAGCAC